rnacentral:lncRNA from 1 species
CUCAGUCAAAUUAUCAAAUGCCAAGACUUUAUUAUGUGCAGCUAACCAAAUAAAAACUUGCACUUUGUGGAGAAUCAGCCACUUCCCAAUUUGAGCAAUUUGAGGGAAAGACCAUCUCCAACGGUCAUGAAAGAAAAGAUUAUAAUAAGAUUUAACAGAGAAAAUAUCAUCACUUUCAAUGUCCCAUAUCAUCUUGUCCUCAGC